UGGUCUAUGCAUCUUUAUAAUUUGAAAAUAUUGUAUAAUUAUAUUAUUAUCAAUAUUGUCGAAUAUAUCGUUAUCAAUAUAUGCAACCAAACUAUCACUUAACCAUUGAUCCCCCAUUCGAUUAAGCACUCGAUUAUUAAUAAUCUUCAUUACAGAAGAUAUCCUCUACCAUAACAGUAACAACUGGAAGAAUUAACAUCAAUGUUACAAGCAUGCAAACUAACGCCAUCUGGAAGAAUUACACCAAUGGUUCUUCUCGAACAUCUAUUUUCAACUUGAACACUCUUUUCAAAAAUAAUUUGCUUUCAACUAGAAAACAAUAAUUUUCAUUUAUAAUAUUUCUCCAUAACCGUUACAAUAUUAAUUUUAAUACAUAAAUAAAUAAAUACCAUAUUUCACUUUUCAUCAAAAUACAAUAUUAAAUUCAUAAUAGAUAACAAUUAAUUUCAUAUAUAAUUCUAAAUCACCGAAUUACAGAAAGUCAUGGAAUUGAGAAUGAAGUCAAAACUUGAAAUUAAUAGUAAUUUAUUUUGGUCAAGAAACACGCACACAUAAAUCAAGAAAUUCUUUGCCAAUAAAUAAACCCCAAAGUAGAAUUUUAUUGCUGCACAUACACAUACGAUUCUAAAACUCGACACUAUAAUGAAUAAAAUUUUAAUUUCUUUUUCUUCUUUAGUAUUAUCCAUCUCAUGGCCUCAAUCGUCACCAAACAGGUUCUCAUCUAGGGCUAGGGCCUAGGUUUAGUGGGUCUGCUUUAAAAAUACAGAAAGGGGUUUUCAAUUCAUGGACCACAACAAGAACAAAUAAUGGUACUUGGCUACUAAAUGCACAUGAAGUAAACUCAAGAAUUCUUAAAAUAGAAAAUUAAAGGAACAACAAACAAAUUGAGACAGAUUGAACCCACAUUUCAAUUGAUGCAAGAACCUCUUCUGGGUUAUCCACUGCAAUGUGUCUGCCGUGAGGAAAAGAAAGAGCAGUUAGGAUUUGAGAGAAGAGAGGAACUGAGAUUUGGGAAAAGAAAGGAAGCCAUAUGCUGUCGUGUUUCACCGGGAAAAGAGACUAUGGUUUAGGAUUAGGUUAGGGCAAUGCAAUUGCAUAUGGUUUAGGAUUAGGUUAGGGCAAUGC
rnacentral:lncRNA from 1 species